rnacentral:rRNA from 1 species
GAUGAACGCUAGCGGCAGGCUUAAUACAUGCAAGUCGAGGGGCAGCGCAGGUAGCAAUACCUGGCGGCGACCGGCAAACGGGUGCGGAACACGUACGCAACCUUCCCAUAACUGGUGAAUAGCCCUCCGAAAGGAGGAUUAAUACACCGUAACAUAACGAAGAGGCAUCUUUUUGUUAUUAUAGUAGCAAUACGGUUUUGGAUGGGCGUGCGCCUGAUUAGGUAGUUGGCGGGGUAACGGCCCACCAAGCCUGCGAUCAGUAACUGGUGUGAGAGCACGACCAGUCACACGGGCACUGAGACACGGGCCCGACUCCUACGGGAGGCAGCAGUAAGGAAUAUUGGUCAAUGGACGAAAGUCUGAACCAGCCAUGCCGCGUGAAGGAUUAAGGCCCUCUGGGUUGUAAACUUCUUUUAUCUGGGACGAAAAAAGGGCAUUCUUGCUCACUUGACGGUACCAGAGGAAUAAGCACCGGCUAACUCCGUGCCAGCAGCCGCAGUAA